CCUACGGGAGGCAGCAGUGGGGAAUCUUGCGCAAUGGGCGAAAGCCUGACGCAGCAACGCCGCGUGCGGGAAGAAGGCUUUCGGGCUGUAAACCGCUUUCAGCAGGAACGAAAAUGACGGUACCUGCAGAAGAAGGAGCGGCCAACUAUGUGCCAGCAGCCGCGGUGAUACAUAGGCUUCAAGCGUUGUCCGGAUUUAUUGGGCGUAAAGAGUUCGUAGGCGGUCGAGUAAGUCGGGUGUGAAAAUUCUGGGCUCAACCCAGAGACGCCACCCGAUACUGCUUGACUUGAGUUCGAUAGGGGAGUGGGGAAUUCCUAGUGUAGCGGCGAAAUGCGCAGAUAUUAGGAGGAACACCGGUGGCGAAGGCGCCACUCUGGAUCGAUACUGACGCUGAGGAACGAAAGCAUGGGUAGCAAACAGGAUUAGAUACCCUGGUAGUCCAUGCCGUAAACGGUGGGCACUAGGUGUGGGUUUCUAUUAACGAAAUCCGCGCCGUCGCUAACGCAUUAAGUGCCCCGCCUGGGGAGUACGGUCGCAAGACUAGAACUCAAAGGAAUUGACGG
rnacentral:rRNA from 1 species